CCUACGGGUGGCAGCAGUAGGGAAUCUUCCACAAUGGGCGCAAGCCUGAUGGAGCAACACCGCGUGAGUGAAGAAGGGUUUCGGCUCGUAAAGCUCUGUUGUUGGAGAAGAACGUGCGUGAGAGUAACUGUUCACGCAGCGACGGUAUCCAACCAGAAAGUCACGGCUAACUACGUGCCAGCAGCCGCGGUAAUACGUAGGUGGCAAGCGUUAUCCGGAUUUAUUGGGCGUAAAGCGAGCGCAGGCGGUUGCUUAGGUCUGAUGUGAAAGCCUUCGGCUUAACCGAAGAAGUGCAUCGGAAACCGGGAAACUUGAGUGCAGAAGAGGACAGUGGAACUCCAUGUGUAGCGGUGGAAUGCGUAGAUAUAUGGAAGAACACCAGUGGCGAAGGCGGCUGUCUGGUCUGCAACUGACGCUGAGGCUCGAAAGCAUGGGUAGCGAACAGGAUUAGAUACCCUGGUAGUC
rnacentral:rRNA from 1 species